GAUGGCGCAGUGGACAUGACACAUGCUUUUGGUGUGGGAGAUCUGGGUUCAAUUCCCACUGCGAUACAUUAAUCAAUGUGUCCCUGAGCAAGGCAUUUAACCCAUAGUUGCUCCAGAGUUGUGUGACCUCUGAUACAUAGCAAAUUUGUAAGUCGCUUUGGAUAGAAGCGUCAGCUAAAUGACGUGUAAUGUAACUCCAUCAUACAAACUUUACAUUAUA